rnacentral:rRNA from 1 species
GACAGAGGGGGCAAGCGUUGCUCGGAAUUACUGGGCGUAAAGGGCGCGUAGGCGGGAUGGGAAGUCGGUCGUGAAAUCCCUCGGCUCAACCGAGGAACGUCGAUCGAUACUGCUGUUCUUGAGGAUUGCAGAGGAGACUGGAAUUCCCGGUGUAGCGGUGAAAUGUGUAGAGAUCGGGAGGAACACCGGUGGCGAAGGCGGGUCUCUGGGCAAUUCCUGACGCUGAGGCGCGAAAGCGUGGGGAGCAAACGGG